AAAGAUGGAGUUGUCAUUUAUUAAGGUGGGGAAUACUAACUCUGCCAUGUAUAUAGGAGCUGGCAAAGGUUUGAUGACAGAGAUCUCUCUCAAGCCUUUCCUACAUUACAGAUUGGCUUCCACAUGU